ACCCCCUGCAGUGAGUUGAUACAGGUUCACUCCCCAGCAAACUGCAGGGAGGAUGGAAAGAACAAGAGUGAGCUUCCCAAAGGAAAAGACAACUGCCCCGGGGCAGUGGCACAAUGUGUCGCCACUGGGUUAAGAGGAGUGGGCUUGGAUGUUUAGAGCGGCAGAUGGUUGCAAGGAUCUCCAAGCCAUCACCCUGGAAGCUGAUUUCAUACUGCCCUCCUCUUUAUAAACUUCAUUAUAACUCUCUCACGAACAAAGGGAAAUCUGCACCUCUGGAGGAAGGUAAGAGUGCGGCUCUUGGCAGACAAGGAAGCAGCAUGUAGCAGGACAUGAAACGUUAACCACCAAGAUGUUAAUUCAGAAAAUUAGAGUCACAGCUGCUCUCAAGCAGAACAUCAAUAGCGAAUGCACAUCCAAGACUUACAUAUGAAUAUCCUUACAAUAGAGGGAAAAGGCUGUCUUACAUCUAUAACAAACCAGCAUGUCCAAUUAAUAAGAAUAAUUAUUCCUUCUAAAUGACUUCAUUAAACAAAACUGAUGAGUUUCCUUCCAAAAGGGAGCAAGGUCGCUGUAUUACCAUCAUGUACCACUGCUUGGAUCCAGAAUUUAACAUGUAAUUUAAAAUCAAAUUAUUUUUACUUAGCAUCGAAACUGCAGGUGUAAUGUGCCGUUAAUAUGGAAAUAAUAACAUAAAAGCAAGAGAGAACUGCUAACGUGAACAUUCAAACCAAUACAGAUCGCAGGCUGGAGACAGGCUCACCUACUAUGCUUUCUAAAUACAGGGUGCUACCUGAGGCUUUCUUUAAAAAUACAUCUUGACCUGGUUAAAAGAUGUGCUCAGUGCAUCAGUCACUGGCUACUGCCUUCUGCUGCUGUGUACUUACUGAGAACAUCCACAAGUGUGAUGAUCUCAUCCUUGCAGUGUUUUUGGCAGGUUUGGUUAUCAGCCAGUCUUCCUGAGUUAAACAGCUUGCAUUCAAUGCAGUCCCUUCAAAAAGAUACACAGAGAGAAAGAUUUAGCAUCCUUCAAAAAGCACAUGGACUCUCAAGCCUGCCACCUACACCAUUUCUGAAAGGGAAUCUUGAUGUGUUGGUGGUGUGUUUGUUGCACAUUUGCACCACAAAUGAGAGAGAAAUGUUAUGGCCAACCAUCUCCAGCUCAAGGAUGACUUUAUUUUGGGGGUGGAUUCAUAAAGCUGCAGAUUUUGCAGGUUUUGGACUGUUUGCCCUUUGGAUGUCAGGAGCUGCAUGUCAGCUAUUGCAAAAUUCAUCCUGCUUCAGAUCAAGGUGGACAGCAUGGAUUGCUUUCUGCCAGUCUCGAGCUGACGUCCAGGAGACCCCCGUCACUGCGGAGCAGGAGUCAUCCCCUGAUCUGCAGCUCAGGGCUCUUUGGGCCCAGAAAUGUGCAACUCAGGGUGCAACGCUUGCUGCUCUGUGGUGUGCACACGGUGCCUGCAACACAGCCGAACACAAGACGGUAUGCCUGGGGCAGGCUAAUCCCUCCGCAAUCCCUUUUCUUGGGAUACUCUCAGGCUGCAGGGGAGCCUAGCAAGUGCCCACACUGUGGCAGGCUUGCGGAGUAGCUGAAAAGGCUUCAAGGAACCAGUUUCCCUUCCUACCAGCAACAAAUCCCUCCUGGAAACCGCCAUGAGUACCUUUUAGUGCUACAGACACCUGGACAGGUGGGACAUUUCUCACACGUCUCUCCAAAAGCCCCGGGUUCGGUGCACUGACACUUCCCACAGACGCAGUUGCCUCGGCCGCUGCACAUCUGACCGUCGUUGGAAACACAGCUGUCGGUCUUGGUGGAGCAGUUGCAGUUGUCCCCGAUGUAACCAGCAUGGCACUUGCACUCCCCGCAGUGACAUUCUCCAUGGCCUGAAAGAAAGCGGUGAGAAAGGCAUCGGGCAACAGCCGGCACCGAAGGUGCUGGGCGGCGAUGCAGCUGCCUCUGCUCGCUACAGCACCAUCGUCCUGCUGCACACGGAGCGCUGCAAAAUGUCCUGUUUUAAGUGAGGAAUCACUGUUUGCUAUCAUCAAGUCCUACCCUGGCGCAACUACGGUUAGCUGGUCGAGACUGCACGCUCCAGCCGUGUCAUCAGAAUUUGCCUGAAAUACGUUACCCUCUGAUCCUCCUCUCUCCAGAUGAUGGUUCCCCAGUAUUCGCCUCAUUUCAGUGUGCCGUUUUGCACCCUUCUGGUUUGCACUGAUUCAGUGCUUAACAUGACAAGCAAACAUUUACAGCAGCUCCUGAGAGCAUAUUUCAGUAGCAUGUUGUUAUGAGACGUUCUUACCCACAGAGUAAAUAUUCAGUACGUCUGCUUCCUCGUGCGCAGCGCUAUGCAAGCCAGCUGUGCGGAGCGCUGCAGUUUACACCUCUGCAGAAGACAACCAGCACUUCUGCCGCUCAGAGCAGCCCCGGGUUCACUCGUGUGCCAGCGCGGAGGCUUGGCUAAGCUAGGAGGCAGUCAGGCCCAGACUGGUACCAUGACUUCCACUGUUACUGGAGUAGCAAAAAUAUUCAAUUUGAAGUUGUGAACAGCUAGAGAAGAAACUGCAUUGUUCCUUCAACAUUUAGGUUCAUUCUUUGCUCCAGGCUGGUAAAGUAACCAGCUUUACCACUUUGCUUCACGGCUAAUAAAGGAUGCAUUUGUUAAUGUAGCUGAGCAAGCUCUGCAAACAGCCUCAGAAUAGCAAUGCACAUCCACUCUCCCUGUUUACCACAAAAGGAAACAGAGAAAAAGAACUGCCCUGACAAUCAUUUAAAAAAAGAAGGGAUGGAGAAGGGGCAACACAGCAGCUGAUCUUUUGAAAUACUGCUUUUCAAACCAGAUGAAUAUGUUUCAGAGGCACAGCAUUCAGCAGAGACAUACUUCAGGGCACCCAAGGACUGUGGCAGCAUCGAUGAGAUCGUACUACUCACUGCAUGUAGCCAGCAUGAGGAGACAGAACAACCAGCCUGUGGUCAGUUUUCUACUGUGUCUUAUUAUGGCAUCAGAUUUUCCUAGCAGAGCCGCUGUGUCAAUAAAUGGGGCGGCUGAAGCCAGGCUUCCUGCCUGGCCUCCUCCAGCCCACGUCGCUCAGCAAAACGCUGUCUUCCUCCGUGCUUCCCUGCCCGCUGCAGACCCCGAGCUUUGAAGAUUACUGAUUGCUGCUGCGCCCUCAAAUGCUAUAAAAGAGGGGGCUCUUGAUAGUGCUUCUGUGUUUACUGGGCUGGCUGGUGUUUCAUAAAAAUCAUUCUCUUCUUUCUCUAUCUAUAUAGAGAAAAAGUAAGAUGGGAAUGGAAGAAUGCGUGAGCUUGCUGUGAAAAUAAACACACCAGACUGUGUGGUGGUCUGGGUAUGGUGCUGGGAGCCACAUCACUUACCAAGACAGACAGAUUCAUUCAGGCUAUUACAAACAAACAAAUCCUCCACAGUCCCACCUCGGGGAAUUAGGACUAUCAUGCAUGAGAGACUGACAACAGCAAAGCUGAGGGCAUGCAAGAGAUGCAUGUGUCCUCCUGCACGCAGUUGCAACCCCUUAGUGACAUGUUCUAGUGGGGACUGGGGAGGCCUCAUGUCACCUGACUGGUUUGAACCUACGGCUUGGCAGCAAAACGUCUUCCAGGUUGGCUAUUCCAUAAGGUCCUUGCUACCCCGCUUCUCAACCAGUUUUACUUAAGAGGUAUUUCUAAGUCAGUGUAAUUAAAAAAAAAAAAAAAAAAACAACAUGCACCAUCUCCUGUGUCCAUGUGAGAUCUCUGCAUCCCAACCAGCACCAUUAAGGUUCCCAGGUUCGGCUGUGAGCCCUGCACGUUUGUAAAUAAGCACUCCAACAGCUACAGAUGAAUGAAGACGGGUACUCCUCCACCGAAGCAUCCCCUUGCAGCUGUGGGGUUUAGUGACAGUCUAAAAAAGCCAACAGGCCUAAAGGCUUUCAAUUACUUUAAGUGCAGUGGCUGGCUGCCGAGCAUCUGGUUUCAGAAAGCUGGCAUCAAUCAGCUCCCUGGAAAUAACGCUCGAAUUCUUCCUUGGUUAGUCCCUAGGAGAAGGGAUGCUUUUGAACACGUAGUUUAUAGAACCGACCGGUUUGUAUACAAGGCUCAUUGGCAACCUAAUUACAGCUCAGCUUUCCCACUGGAAACAGCCUCUAGUUCCUCAGACAAGAUAAAUUAUAUACAUGUUCCUUUCAUCGACACAAAACCUCUGAUAUCGCUGGUUCUCUCGUCGCUUCAAGACUACCAGAGAGGCUGUGGACUGUAAACCUAUAUCCCUUGCCAAAAGUCAUGGGAACACCUUCUGUUUUACUAAGCAUCCCAUUUGUCCCAGCACAUCACAAGAUGCCCUCCCACCGCCUCUUUUGUGUUCCCAUCGUUUGCUUUGGAUCCAGCUUGCAAACUCAAACAGUACGAGACAGAGGAGGUUAUGUUUACAAGAUCACUAAAGGUGACCUCCUUCCUUGCCUACAUCUGAUGUAGAUUAAAAAUCAGUCCCUGUUUGCUCGCACAAUGGCAGUGUUGUUGCCCUUACCCCAGACAGUGCCCUCACAAAUAUACACGCAGGCUCGCCUUGCACUGCCCCUACAAAACUCCGGCGUGAGCCUCUGCACUACAGCGAAGGCAGCCGCGCUCUCCGCUGCUCGGCGUGCAGCUAUCCCACGCACGCAUCCGCUUCACAAGCAAAUGGAGUGAGGUGCAAGGCAUUUAUUCAUGUGCUCUGGCUCUCGCACACAGCUGGUUUGGUGCCUCCAUGGCAAUGCAAGUGUCCAAACCAGCUGUAAAUCAAAGGCAUAGGUCGUGGUUGUCUUAAAUGGGCACUAUUUCACUGACUGCAUUGCAACUGGCAUUGUGACUCCUUGUAUGGGGCAUUUAGCAAGUGUGCUCACGCUUGAAUUGGAGCUCCGAGGGCCAAGGGGAUCGAGCCAAUUGCAUUCACACCACCCCUGGAGUCAGGCCUUGAGCGUGAGCUGAUUCCCUCUCUUCUGGGGCACUGCACGAGGGCGGGGGUGGUGGUGGUGGUGGUGCCCAUUUUGAUCCCUUUUGGACACUAGAAAACCCAGCACAAGAUACAAAUCCACUGGAAAUCCAUCUCUGGAAGUAUCAUUGCUCAUGAAAUGGUUCAGUUUUUAAAGCAGUUGGUGCCAGGACAGCGUACUAGGCCAGAAAGUCCGCGCAUCUGUUCCAGCCACUGGCACGCUGCAGCUCGGUGGAGAGAGCCUGGAACUGCCCCGAGGAAGGGAAACAACAAUUUCCAAAUAAUGCACGCUAUUAAAACAUUGAGACUGGAAAAUUUGAAAGCCACCAUCUUAAAUCAAAUGGUUUUGUUUAUUAAGGAAGGGACGAAGAAAAAGCUGCUAUAGAUGAAGGUGUAUAAAUGUGGGGUGUAAUUUAAAAACAUGCCCAAAUGCAUACGCUGCCUUGGGCAAACUGGCUGCACAGUCAGUAAGUCACUGGCUGAAGCUCAUCACAGGGGACACGCCAAGAGUGGGAGUUUCUAUGUUGACCUUUAGUGACAAUUCCGCAGAGAUGUUACAAACUUCACAGCCUACAUCAUCUUCAAAGAGUGGCCAUUCUUGCAAGUACAGUGACCUCCAUUUCUGGAGCUCUCCAUGUCUCCUGCACAGCCUGAAGACUAGAGAAAGAUGGCUGAAUGGGAUAUAUUGAUUUCUCAUAUGGGCAUUAGAAGAGUUGACUCACUUCUCAUUGCCAACCUGGAACACCAGAGAUGGGGAUCCACACCGUCCCCUUGUUCAGGACACCACUGCUGACAUAACGUGACAGGAGCCCCGAGAUAAUUCGGCUUGCCAGUCACAGCGAAUCUUUCAAUGGCUGUGACCUAGAGUUGAAGUCUGCAGCACGGAGGGUGCUGCACAGUAUUUGUAACACACAGCAAAACACACUGCAAGUCUUACCUACCCUACUGACACCCAUAAAGCAUAUGUUGAGCGGUCUUCAUGUUGUGUGAGAUUAUGCCUGUGGGAAUCCUUCCACCACCAUGCCAACGAGGAACUGAGGUGCACCCCGGUCUCACGUCCAAGAUGAGAACGUAACCUCAGGGUGACAGGGGAAGGGGUAUUUCAAGACACCUCUACACCAGUAAAAGUCUCAUGGUGUAGGGUAGUAGCAUGGAUUAUAACACCCCCCCACCCCCAUCAUUUGGGUUGGCAUGUCCUCUGUUAAAGCUGGUGCACAAAGCCAAAAGACAUUAAUUAUGUUCUCCAAACAUAACAAGAUAUGUUUUCUUCUGUUCCCAUCCUUGAAAUGAAACAAUCUGAGAUGCUUGAAGGAUCCAGAUCAAAUCGGGGAAUGAAAUGCUCCCUCUGAACUUCAUAACAUACUUUCCGGCCAACUCUCGAUCGUUGGGGCUGGGAUAACACGAAACACAUGCAAGGGAGGCUACAGAAACAUGCAGCGGGGUGCUGCACAGAAAAGCGAUGCUUCUGGGUGCCAAGGCAGCAGGUCCCAAAUUAGAUUUUGACCCCUGGAGGGGCUUCCCGCACCGGAGCCGGGGCAGCCGGCGGGGUGGGAGCCGCAGGGCACGCCGCAGCAUCGCGGUGCUCGCUCCUGCAGCGCCCGAGGAGGCCAGCCCCGCGCCCGGGACGGCCCGCCGGUGGCUCCCCUCCACUCGGGAACCCAGCCCCAUCCGGCUCCAUGCGUCCGGGCCCCACGCCGUCACGUCCUGCUGUCACUCGAGCAUUUUUGGCAGGACGUGCGUCUGUCCUCGUUUCACCCCAGCCGCCGCCACCUCUCCCCUGCCUGCAUGCCUGCAACGGCAGCCAGGAGGCCACGUCCCCUCUUAUCCUUGCAAAUCAGAAAUAUCCCGUCUCCAGGAUCUGCUCCGAGCCCGGCAGAGGAAAGCGGCCGUGCGCAAACCUGCCUGAGCCGACGCGCAGACCCCCCCGUCGCUG